rnacentral:rRNA from 1 species
CCCUACGGGAGGCAGCAGUAAGGAAUAUUGGACAAUGCCCGCAAGGGUGAUCCAGCCAUGCCGCGUGCAGGAAGAAGGACCUAUGGUUUGUAAACUGCUUUUGAACAAGAGAAAACCCUCCUACGUGUAGGAGGCUGAUAGUAUUGUUAGAAUAAGCAUCGGCUAACUUCGUGCCAGCAGCCGCGGUAAGACGAAGGAUGCAAGCGUUAUCCGGAUUCAUUGGGUUUAAAGGGUGCGUAGGCGGCCCAGUAAGUCAGUGGUGAAAUCUCCUCGCUUAACGAGGAAACUGCCAUUGAUACUGCUAGGCUUGAGUACAGAUGCUGUGGGCGGAAUAUGACAUGUAGUGGUGAAAUACAUAGAGAUGUCAUAGAACACCGAUUGCGAAGGCAGCUCACAAAACUGUAACUGACGCUGAGGCACGAAAGUGCGGGGAUCAAACAGGAUUAGAUACCCCGGUAGUCC